rnacentral:rRNA from 1 species
UACGGGGGGAGCAAGCGUUGUUCGGAUUUACUGGGCGUAAAGGGCGCGUAGGCGGCCUGUGCAAGUCAGUUGUGAAAUCUCCGAGCUUAACUCGGAAAGGUCAACUGAUACUGCUCGGCUAGAGUGCGGAAGGGGCAACUGGAAUUCUUGGUGUAGCGGUGAAAUGCGUAGAUAUCAAGAGGAACACCUGCGGCGAAGGCGGGUUGCUGGGCCGACACUGACGCUGAGGCGCGAAAGCUAGGGGAGCGAACGG